GACGAACGCUGGCGGCGUGCUUAACACAUUCAAGUCGAACGGAAAGGCCCUGCUUUUGUGGGGUGCUCGAGUGGCGAAAGGGGGAGUAACACGUGAGUAACCUGCCCCUGACCUUGGGGUAACUUCAGGAAACUGGGGCUAAUACCGGAUAGGAGCUCCUGCUGCAUGGUGGGGGGUGGAAAGGUUCGGCGGGUGGGGAUGGACUCGCGGCUUAUCAGCUUGUUGGUGGGGUAGUGGCUUACCAAGGCUUUGACGGGUAGCCGGCCUGAGAGGGUGACCGGCCACAUUGGGACUGGGAUACGGCCCAGACUCCUACGGGAGGCAGCAGUGGGGAAUAUUGCACAAUGGGCGGAAGCCUGAUGCAGCAACGCCGCGUGCGGGAUGACGGCCUUCGGGUUGUAAACCGCUUUCGCCUGUGACGAAGCGUGAGUGACGGUAAUGGGUAAAGAAGCACCGGCUAACUACGUG
rnacentral:rRNA from 1 species